GACGAACGCUGGCGGCGUGCUUAACACAUGCAAGUCGCGCGAAGUGGCGAACGGGUGAGUAACGCGUAAUCAACCUGCCCUUCCGAGGGGGACAACAGUUGGAAACGACUGCUAAUACCGCAUCCUGACGCAGGGAAUUGCGUCUGAUUAGCUAGUUGGAGGGGUACCGUCCCACCAAGGCGAUGAUCAGUAGCCGGUGUGAGAGGAUGAACGGCACAAGUGGGACUGAGGCACGGCCCAGACGCCUACGGGAGGCAGCAGUGGGGAAAGAUCGGCAAGGGGCGAAAGGCUGGAGGAGCAACGGCGGGGGAGAGGUGACGGCCGUGGGGGUGUAAAGGUCUGUUAAGCGGGAAGCGGUACCGAAAUAAAAAGCCACGGCUAACGACGUGCCAGCAGCCGCGGUAAUUC
rnacentral:rRNA from 1 species